UACGUAGGGUGCAAGCGUUGUCCGGAAUUACUGGGCGUAAAGAGCGCGCAGGCGGUCGUGCAAGUCGCGUGUGAAAGCCCCCGGCUCAACUGGGGAGGGUCACGCGAUACUGCUCGACUUGAAGGCAGGAGAGGGAAGCGGAAUUCCCGGUGUAGUGGUGAAAUGCGUAGAUAUCGGGAGGAACACCAGUGGCGAAGGCGGCUUCCUGGCCUGUUCUUGACGCUGAGGCGCGAAAGCUAGGGGAGCAAACGGG
rnacentral:rRNA from 1 species